UUCAGUCAGCGUCGAGUCUUCUGAGAUCUGCUCCUCCUCCUUCAGUGAAGCUCCUCCCACUGCAAUUCACCAAUAAAUGCUGGAAUAUUCCCAUCAGUCUACAAGUGAAGACGAGCAUCAAACCAUCAGGAAGAGCUGAAAUCUGCAAAGACAGAGUUUAUUGAAGGACAGUGAGAAGAUGAGAGAUCCAGAACACUGCAGAAUGAAACACACUGAAGAACAAAGAGACCUGGUGGAGGAGAAUAAGGAGAGUGAAGAGGAGGAGGAACAUCAUCAUGUCAAAACUGGAGACAAAACUUGCUCACAAACUGAAAGUAUUUCUGUACUGAAUAGAAGAGACCAGAAACGUUUCACCU